GUUGCAGAGAAAAAGUUUCAGGGUUUGCUCUCUCUCUCAGACGAAGAAACAGGCCGAGAACACGAUUUCUAAUCGAAAUUUCCAGUUCAACAAUGGAACUAUGAAGAUCUUCAACAACAACAGAAAUAAAGAAGAUAACAACUAAUCGUCAUUCACAGAACAACUUUGGGUACUGGAAUCUGUACCUGGAGAUGUAAAUCCUGAAGAGAGUGAUGGAGAAGUUGAGAAGGUUUUCCAGACCUUGCAAAGUUUACCC